rnacentral:piRNA from 1 species
UUGGAGAUUGGAGCCAGUUCACUG